UGAGGUACAGAGAAAAUGCAGUGAAAGCCACCCCGGAGUCACAGCAGAGGAGAUGAUCAAAUUAGAGAUGUGGUCCAGAAAAGUGAAGUGGGAGUCUGUCCACCAAGAUACUAUGAACUUUUCAGAAACUGCGGAGGAGCAAGCUGUGAGUUUAAAACAAUGAAAGAAGCAGAAGAGGGGGCGCUUCAGAAUGUUUGCGCCCUGCCUUCCAGCAACACACGUGUUUCAGUGCAACCUGGCUCAGCUGUUCCUUGCUGCCUUCCUAUGAAUGUCUCAAGCGAACAGCACUCCCACGGGGGCUCCUGGUCUCCAGGUUUGUGCUGUGUGGGCUUCCAGGGAAGGAGAGGAAGAGGUUUUGUUGUUUAAAGAAAAAUUGGAAUCCUCCUGCUAUGGUUUGAAUGUGUCUCCUCCCCAACUCCUGCAAAACUUGGUGCUUCCUGUGGGAGUCCCCAGAGGCGGGGUCUGUGGGGAUGUAAUUAAGGCUGAACGCUCUGCCUUAUAAAAGGGCUGGAGGGAAAUAGUUUAUAGGCUACACCAUGAGUCCCCUCCAGAGGGUGCAGCAUGUCUAGGGCCACCUUGAAAGGGGGACUGAGCCCUCAUCAAACACCAAAGCUACCGGCAUCUGGGUCCUGGCCUUGCAGCCUCAAGAACUGUGAGAAAUACAUUUCUGUUCUCCCUGUACAAACCAGCCCCGGGGAGUUGCUUACAGCCACACGACUGCACUGAGACACCUACCAUAGGUACUAUUCUGCAUCCGAUUGUUCUAUUUUUGGCAGCAGUUAUUGAACAGAUACUUAUUGAGCAUCUACUCUAUGCCGAGAACUGUGCUUUCCAUUGGUCACAGAACAGUGAAAAAAGAAGACAUCGCCCCUCUCCAAGUGAAUGAACAUUGUGAUGGGGAAGGUGCUAUUAAAUAAAUUACACGCGUAAACAUGUAAUUUUCACAAAUGCUGUAAAAGGAUCAGGCGCCCUGUAAACACGGAAUAAAGAAAUGCCGAGCAGAGUUGUCUCUCCAAGAUCCAUUUCCUCACUUUCUGCCGUUUUACGUCUGAGUCUGAGGACACAACUCACACAUGAACUUCUACCUUGAAGGGUGGCAUAUGACCCAGGCCUGCCUAUCAUUUUUCUUUCAACAGUGCUUGGUUCAAAAGUAGCCAUGUGCCCGGUGAAGGAACCAAACCAAUGAGACUAAGUCCUGGGAAAUUUCCUGGAGCACUCUUGGAGAAGCACAUCCUCUCUUCCUCCUAGGUCUGAAUGUGCAGGAGGAAGCUGAGGCAGGUGCAGCCGUGUUAGCUCCAUAAGAAUGAGCUUCUCGAAGGAGCCAGCUUCGAGACUGCCUGACCAAUGGGUGGAGAAAAGAAGCAAGUCCUGGUGAUGCUUUUUGAAGCCUGGAUCAAGCCUGAAGCCAAUCCUGAACUUUUUGGUUGCCUGAGCCAGCUUGGGUUGUCCCUGAUGCCCAGAGGAUCCUAGACAUAAGCAUAUCAGGGCAAGUUUCCCCGGGGCAGGACGUGUAAACUGAGACCUGAAGCAUGAGUAGGAGUUAUGCUGGCCUGGAAGCGGGGAAGAGUGCAGCCGUGGACAUGGAUGAAGAAGAAACAGGUGCUGUAUCCCAAGCAGGAAAGCCCUAGCAGGUUGCAUCAAGAAAGCCAGUCUAGGCCAGGGAUAUAGCUCAGUGGCACAAGCACGUGCCUGGCAAGUGCAAGGUCCUGAGUUUAAUUCCCAGUACCAAAAAAAAAAGUUAGGAAAGCCAGUCUGAGUCCUAGUCAACAAGUGCCUGCCUGAGCCUAGAUCAUGAAGCAUUUCCCCUAUGUUUUUCUCUAGCAGUUUCAAA
ensembl:lincRNA